UACGUAGGGGGCAAGCGUUGUCCGGAAUCAUUGGGCGUAAAGAGCGUGUAGGCGGCCCGGUAAGUCCGCUGUGAAAGUCGGGGGCUCAACCCUCGAAUGUCGGUGGAUACUGUCGGGCUAGAGUGCGGAAGAGGCGAGUGGAAUUCCUGGGUGUAGCGGUGAAAUGCGCAGAUAUCAGGAGGAACACCGAUUGGCGAAGGC
rnacentral:rRNA from 1 species